rnacentral:rRNA from 1 species
AUUGAACGCUGGCGGCAGGCCUAACACAUGCAAGUCGAGCGGGGUUUUCGGACCUAGCGGCGGACGGGUGAGUAAUGCGUAGGAAGCUACCCGAUAGAGGGGGAUACCAGUUGGAAACGACUGUUAAUACCGCAUAAUGUCUACGGACCAAAGUGUGGGACCUUCGGGCCACAUGCUAUCGGAUGCGCCUACGUGGGAUUAGCUAGUUGGUGGGGUAAUGGCUCACCAAGGCGACGAUCCCUAGCUGGUUUGAGAGGAUGAUCAGCCACACUGGAACUGAGACACGGUCCAGACUCCUACGGGGGGCAGCAGUGGGGAAUAUUGGACAAUGGGCGCAAGCCUGAUCCAGCCAUGCCGCGUGUGUGAAGAAGGCCUUCGGGUUGUAAAGCACUUUCAGUAGGGAGGAAGGGUGUUGUGUUAAUAGCACGGCAUUUUGACGUUACCUACAGAAGAAGCACCGGCUAACUCUGUGCCAGCCGCCGCCGUAAGAC